GGAAGGAUCAUUCUUUUAUACGCUGUCUUCGGAUCGCGACUCGUCUAUGCAUUUAGCAAGUUUUGAAUUUGUAGUUGACUUAGCAUUUAUUAUACCAAUAUUUAAUAGAAUCUUGACGGUGAAUACAUUGGCUUCUAGAACGAUGAAGAACGCAGCGAACCGCGAUAUGUAUUGCGAAUUGCAGAAUUCAGUGAAUCAUCAAACUUUCGAACGCAGCCUGCGAUCAUUGGUCGUACCAUUGAUUAUGCUUCUCUGACAUGUUGACCACUUAUUCAAUCGUGUAGAUUAUUUAUUUACACGUUGAACACUUUUUUCAAUCUUUUGCCCAAAAGAUAGUUCAAACUUGUAUUUUACUGUUAUAUUGGUUUCAAUAACUACGCACUUUCCUGAAAGUAUUAACAUACUGGAUAAAUUUGCUAAUGUCAAUUGUCACUCAAAGUCAGCUUUAAGAUAUCAUUUUUUCUUUUGUGUCAGAUGAAGCAAGGUUACCCCCUGAAUUUAAGCAUAUAAAUAAGGGGAGGACAAGAAACUAAAUAGGAUUCUCUUAGUAACGGCGAGUGAACAGAGAUUAGCUCAAACCUUUAAUCUUUCUCUCUUUGGAUUGAACGAAAUGUGGUUUGUGGAAGUAUAUCCAGAGUGUGGCCCAGGUUCAAGUUCGCUGGAAAGCGACACAAUGUAGGGUGAAAGUCCUGUGAUUGGCUUGGAGUCUGCCUCGUACGGAUAUCUUUCUGAGAGUCGGAUUGCUUGGGAGUGCAGUCUAAAUGGGGGGUAAAUUUCUUCCAAAGCUAAAUAUAUCUAGAAGACCGAUAGCAUACAAGUACCGCGAGGGAAAUGUGAAAAGGACUUUGAAAAGAGAGUUAAAAGUAUUUGAAACCGUCAAAGAUCAAGCAAUAGAUCCAUUUGAUUUUCAGAUACUCGUGCUAGUUUAUUAAUUUUCCUAGAUUUCCUCCAGGUAGCCUUUGGCUCUGUGGAAUUUUUGAAUGUUAAUGAGCUGUGUACGAUGGUCUGGAAUUAUUUUAGUUCGAUUUUAAGAUGGUAUACAUCUUUCGCAAGGGUAGGUGUGUGAUUGCUUGCAUGAUCCCUGAAUGUGCGAUUGAUUUUGCCAUCUGUGAAUCUUAUUUAAUGUAUAAACUAGAUCUAUUGACCCGUCUUGAAACACGGACCAAGGAGUGUAACGCUUGUGCAAGUCUUUGACGUAGUAACGUCGAUUGCGAAAUGAAAGUGUAAACAAAGACUUUCUUUGUCAUGAUGUCAAACCACGUAUUAUGUGGCGUCAGCAUCAUCUGGCUUCUUCUUUUGUGAGAGGUUCGCGAUAUAGCACGACCGAUACGACCCGAAAGAUGGUGAGCUAUACUUGCGCAGGGUGAAGCCAGGGGAAACUCUGGUGGAAGCUCGCAGCGUUACUGACGUGCAAAUCGUUCGUCUGACGUGGGUAUAGGGGCGAAAGACCUAUCGAACCAUCUAGUAGCUGGUUCCCUC
rnacentral:misc_RNA from 1 species